rnacentral:lncRNA from 1 species
UAAGGAAAAUGAAAAGAUGAGCCACAGUCUAGGAGAAAACAUUUGCAAAUGCAUAUCUGAUAAAAAUAUGCAAUGAACUCUAAAAAUUCAGCAGUAAGAAACAAACAACCCAGUUGAAAAAGGGGCAAAAGAUAUAAAUGGAUUGUGAUGAUCAUUAUACAACUAGAGAUGUGAUAAAUUCAUUGAAUUAAAAAAAAAAAGUAUAAAUGGACACCUCACCAAAAAAGACAUACAGUCGGCAAAUAAGCAUUUGAAAAGAUGCUCAAUAUCCCACAGCAUUAGGUAAUUGCAAAUUAAAUAAUGAGAUACCCCUAUACACUUACUUAAAUGGCUAAAAUCCCCAAACUGGACAAUACCUGGUGACACCAGGGAGCAGCAGGGACUCUCUUACAUUGCUGACAGGAAUGCAAAAUGCUACAGUCACUUUGGAAGAUGGUUCGGCAGGUUCUUACAAAGCUAAACAGUCUUAUCAUAUAAUCCAGCAAUCACUCUCCUUGGUAUUUACACACUAUAGUUGAAAACGUGUCCAUACAAAAGUUUGCAGAAGAAUGUUUAUAACAGAUUCAUCCGUAAUUACCCCAAACUGAAAACAACCAAGCUGUUCUCAAAUAAGUGAAUGGAUAAACAGCAGGUACGGACAUACCAUGGAGUGUUAUUCAGCAAUGAAACGCAAAGAGCAAUCCACACAAAAAGACGUGGAGGAAACUUAAAUGCACGUUGCUGAGUCAAAGAAGCCAAGGUGCAAGGUUAUAUACUGUGUGAUUCCAACUACAUGACAUUCUGGAAAAGGCGAAACUGUAGAGACGGUAAAGAGAUAGUGCUUGCCAGGGGUUUGGGGGGAGGCACGAGGAGUGAACAGGUGCCUCACAUGGAUUUUUACAAAACAGUUCUGCAUGACACAAUAAUGGUGGGUAGGUGACAUUAGCCAUGUGUCAAAAAACCUGUAGCAUGUACAUUGGCAAGAGUAAACCUUGGAAUUCCUGUUGUGGCUCAGCGGGAACGAAUCUGACUAACAUCCACGAGGACGCAGGUUCGAUCCCUGGCCUUGCUCAGUGGGUUAAGGAUCCAGCGUUGCUGUGAGCGGUGGCGUAGGUUGCAGACAUGGCUCAGAUCUGGCUGUGAUGUAGGCCAAUGGUUAAAGCUCUGAUUCAACCCCCAGCCUGGGAACCUCCGUAUGCCUCGGGUGCAGCCCUAAAAAGACAAAAUAAAUAAAUAAAUAAACCUUGAUGCAAAUUACAGAGCUUAGUUAAUAAUCAUGUAUUAAUAUUGGUUCAUUAAUUGCAAUUAUUAGUUAUAAUUACUUAUCCCACUAAUGCAAGAUGUUAAAAAAAUAAGGGGAAACUGUAUGGAGAAGGAGAGUGUGUGGGAACUAUGUUACCUACUCAAUUGCUCUAGAAAUUUAAUACUCUUCUUAAAAGAUAACUAUUUUUAUUUUAUUUUAUUAUUUUUUUUUGUCUUUUUGCCAUUUCUUGGGCUGCUCCUGUGACAUAUGGAGGUUCCCAGGCUAGGGCGGCCCUAGAAAAGGCAAAAAGACAAAAAAAAAAAAAAAAAAAAAAAGAAAAAAAAAAUGAUGCCCUGAGGGCCCCCUUUAAGGAUCCUAUAGCUGCUGAAAAUGUUCUGCUGUGGUGGGAGACUCCUUCACCGGAGUGCUGUUAUGCCUCUUGAUUUCAAGAAGAGUUUUAGGAGUUCCCCAGUGGCUCAGCAGGUUCAGGACCUGGCAUCGUCACCGCUGUGGCUCUGGUUGCUUCUGUAGCAUGGGUUCAAUCUCUAGCCAGGAAACUUCUGCAUACCUCGGGCAUGGCAGAAAAAAAAACCAGAGAAGAAGAGAGAGCUUUUAGAAAGCCCCCUGAAAGCCUGCCCCCCGCCCCAAUGCCUGUCCAAGGAGUCAGCACAGCCUUUGCCUUCUGGGGGUGUAACACUGGUCUUUCCUAAAUGCUGGCUUUGCUGAGGUCUCAACAUGCUCUGUCCAGGCCCGUGCAAAUGGGGAUAUUUAUUGGCGAUGGGAUGGCUCUUGCUAAGGAGGGCCAGGCAGGACCUAGACACUGGACGUUCAUUCAUUCAUUCAUUCAUUCCACAAAUACAGAGCAGGUACUGAAAUGGACUUGGGACUAUGGCUAAAUGGGUACUGGCCACACAGCAAUGAACAGCACACAGCUCUGGCCCCAUGGAGUUUCAGCUGGAGAAUAAAGUGGACAUCUAAACGCCAGCACAUGAGGUGCAUGCUGGCAAUGAACAUGCAGAGGGCCGUGGGGGUGGGAGGAGGGCAGAUGUUUUGGAGGGACUCUCUGUGGCAGGUGGUGGGCAGCACCUGUGCCAGGAGCAGGCAGAGAGCAUGUCCAGGGGAGCGGUGACAGGUGGCGCGAGGAGGCCCAGACGGAAAGGUGGCAUACAGAGGGUCUGCAGGGGAAGGACCGGAGGUGCCCUGGACAGAAUGGAGAACAGCUUGGGGAGCCAGGCGGCUGGGCCUGGGGGUGGACAGGCAGGGGGACAGUUGGCAUCCAAGAGCCUUGACAGCUGGUGACAGAGCCUCUCAUCCUCCAGGGAGAGCAGGAGGGGGCCCUCGGCAGCGGGGCUGAGGGAACCACGAUAGAGCUUGGUCACUGGGGUACACGGCAGGAGGACAUCGUAGGCCGAGCCAGAGCCCAGUUUCCAAGGACAAGGGCAGUGCAGGGCUGACGGGCGCAGGGCUGAUUUAAUGCUAAGCCUGGAGUUCCUAAAGCUGACGCCGACAGAGCCUGAGCUGGUCACAGAGCCUGGGCCGGCCUGCGUCUGCAGACGGAGCUCCAGAUGAUGAAGCUCUGGUUCCCAGCCACAGAUUAAAGGCCCCGGGGGAGUUGGAGGAAGAAUGCCAUGGCCUGGCAGAUCCUCACUGCACUGCUCUGAGUCAGGGCCUGGCACUGUUACCCUUCUGUGAAAUACUCUCAAAUUGACAGAAAAGAUGCCGUAACAAUACAACAGUCCCCCUUUUCAGCAGGGGAUGCGUUCCAAGGCCCCUGGUGGAUGCCUGAACUCGAGGAGGGCAUGGAGCCCCACACAGCGUAUAUGCCACUUCUUCCCAUGCAGACAUGCCCAGGAUAAAGUUUCCUUUACAAAGUGGGCACAGUAAGAGAUUAACAACAGCUAAUAAUCGGAUAGCACAGUUAUAAAGAUAUACUGUAAUAGAAUUAUGGACAAGUGUGCGCACUCUGUCUCUCUCAAAAUAUCUUAUUGUUCAAAUUUAAGGCCUUUCCAUCUUAACCAAGCACUUACCAGGCACUGUGGCUGUAACUUUUGCAGUUUGAGGUACAGCAGCAAAACUAGCAUCUGUUGCCUUUUCUUCCUCACAAUUUCGCAAAUAGAAGAUUCAUUUUUAUCAUAGAUUUUAGCAGCCUCGCAAUAUGAUUUUUUUUCUUCAUUAAGUCCAGAACUUGCACUUUUCUGCUUAAAGGAUGCACUUAAUAGUUUGGCUUGGGUGUGUCUGAAUCACCAGCAUCACUCCUCUUGUGCUUGGGGGCUAUUACGAAGUAAAAUAAAGGUGCCUCGAACCCAAGCACUGAGAUUGUGCAGCAGUCAAUCUGAUAACUCAGCGACU